rnacentral:lncRNA from 1 species
AAAGGGUUAGUAACGGUGGGGAACUGUUUGCACCCCGAAGCCUGAAAGAGUGAAGUAGGGUGGGAUUACCUGGAAAGAGAGAGAGAGACAGAAGGAGAAUGAGAUUGAGGGAAGGGCUGCCUGGCAGGGGAAGCUGACGCCUUCAGGCAAGUGAAGAAGCCAGCCCGCAGCAACUCUGCAGGGAAGAAUAUAGGGAAAUAAACGCCUUCAUCUCUCUCUUGUCCCACCCGCAGAGCUCCUUCUGGGAUUCUCUAUUGGCUGAACUCAGCCAGAAGCUGCCAAGGGAGACCCCCACAACUGGAUGCAGCCCACUGAAGUCAGCUUCCUGGGGUGCGUAGCUGAAGGUAGCAGGGAGCAAAAAGAAUCUGAAGGGGAAGUGAACAAUGUAGAGCGUAUCUGUGCUGAAGACGUAAGGAGAGAGUGGAGGUCAGAAGCUGGCAUGGUCCCUGGUGCAUGUAUCAGCCGCUAAAGCUGGAGUGGAUGAAUCAGAACUUUCCCCAUGGGAGCAUUUAUAAAAAGGGGACACCCAGCGCAGAAGAUGUUUUCCAGGGAGAUCUCGGGGAGCCCAACAAGCCAAGAAGAGCAGAGCAAAGCAUUCCAAGGAAGGACUCUAAGUCUGCAACCGAGCACACACGAGGGUAGCCUACGCAUGUACGUCUUGCAGUGAUGGCAAGGAGCAGGAGAAAGAAAGCCCAUCCAAACAAGCAUAUUGGAAGCCUAUGUAUCCCAUAAGCUGACAUCUUGUUGCCCAAAGCAUGUCAUGUGCGUGGUCCAGAGUCAGUGUUGAAGGGCUCUGCAAAAUCACAUGGUAAAGACUGUGGUUUCAGGGAGGAGUGAAGAUUUGUGCGCAUUGCUCCAAUUGACAACCAUGGCACUAGGCUCAGGCCACACUUCUUCCUAACAAGAGAGCAAGUCAAAGCGUGGUUAGUUAAAGUCCAUACAAAAACUCACUUUAACAGGCCUCCUCUGGAUUGAACAGCUGAUAUUAAGUCAUAAGGUACCACAUCAGAAAGAUACUGGGUAUCUUUGGUUCAGCAAUUCCAUCACCAGGGACUUUUUCAUCCUAAGGAAAUCACUGCACGGUGGACAAAGAUAUAUGCAUAAGGAUGCUCCUUCUGGCCAAAGACCAAAAACAUAACUGGCCAUCAGUAAAAGCCAACACAAGGAAAGACCAUGUGAAUACACAGCAAGAACGUGGUGCUCUGCAAGUCAGAAACAGACCCGUCAUCAGA